GUGAAUCAUCGAAUCUUUGAACGCAUAUUGCGCUCCCUGGUAUUCCGGGGGGUAUGCCUGUUUGAGGGUCAUUUGAAAUCAUAUAAAUUCCAAUAUUUUUCGGAAUUUAAAAUGGCUUGUCCAUUUUUUGUGGUCGCCUAAGAUCCAGGACAAGCUCAUUUUCUUGGGUUGCGUGAUACUUUCAGUUACCUCGUGACUUAACCAGGAAUCACCGGGCGUGUUAUGAAUUUUGCAAGAGAUAAAAGAUUCCAUAGAUAAAUCUCACGCGAAAUAGAAAUCGAAUCAUGACCGCAAAUUAUGU
rnacentral:misc_RNA from 1 species